UACGUAGGGGGCAAGCGUUGUCCGGAAUCAUUGGGCGUAAAGCGCGUGUAGGCGGCUUGGUAAGUCUGCUCUGAAAGCCCGGGGCUCAACCCCGGGAGGCGGGUGGAUACUGUCAAGCUCGAGUCCGGAAGAGGAGUGUGGAAUUCCUGGUGUAGCGGUGAAAUGCGCAGAUAUCAGGAAGAACACCCGUGGCGAAGGCGGUUCUCUGGGACGGUACUGACGCUGAGACGCGAAAGCGUGGGGAGCGAACAGG
rnacentral:rRNA from 1 species